GACGAACGCUGGCGGCGUGCCUAAUACAUGCAAGUAGAACGCUGAAGGAGGAGCUUGCUUCUCUGGAUGAGUUGCGAACGGGUGAGUAACGCGUAGGUAACCUGCCUGUUAGCGGGGGAUAACUAUUGGAAACGAUAGCUAAUACCGCAUAACAGUAGAUAUCGCAUGAUAUCUACUUGAAAGGUGCAAUUUCAUCACUACCAGAUGGACCUGCGUUGUAUUAUCUAGUUGGUGAGGUAACGGCUCACCAAGGCGACGAUACAUAGCCGACCUGAGAGGGUGAUCGGCCAACAUGGGACCGAGACAAGGCUCAGACUCCCACGGGAGGCAGCAGUAGGGAAUCUUCGGCAAUGGACGGAAGUCUGAACGAGCAACGGCGCGGGAGGGAAGAAGGUUCUCGGAUCGGAAAGAUCUGUUGUAAGAGAAGAAAGAGUGUGAGAGUGGAAAGUUCACACUGUGACGGUACCUUACCAGAAAGGGACGGCUAACUACGUG
rnacentral:rRNA from 1 species